AGGUGGCAGGUUUGCUUGAGCUGGGGAGGUUGAGGCUGCAGUGAGCCAUGAUCAUGCCACUGCACUCCAGCCUGAGUGACAGAGCGAGACCCUGCCUCA
ensembl:miRNA